ensembl:lncRNA
GUUACACUUACUCUCCCUGCAUCACAAUGCUGAAAUAACACUAAUAAACCAGUGUGUCCAAUGCACAGGCAUAUACACACUCAGGGCCAAAUCCUGCUGUACCCCUAGAGCUGCCCUUUGCUUCAGGUCAGGGGCCUUGGUGCCAGUGGACAUACUUGUCUUGGCCUUGCUAUACUUAUGUGAAAGAUGAGGACUGGAAUCUGCACCACAGACACACUGAGAUGAGUUAGAAAGAAGUGUGAGAGACCCCAGCGUGUGCUCUGUGCUGUAGCAGAGAGCCAGCUGCCUGUACGGCAGAGCAGGAUCACCAGCCAGGAAACCUGGCACAGCAUGGGCACAGAGCCUUGUCACCAUGUGAGAGGGUAUUGAUGGACAUCAUGGCACUGCCACCUCUGAAAUGUCUUCCUUCACCUCCUCCAUGUCUUUGGGAGUUCUGCAUGAUAACCUUCGAGGUGUCAAGGUGGGAGGGUCAGACAUCCAGCUCUCUUACCAACCAGUGGGACACACUGACGGAGAAGGAGGAAAGGAGCCCCAAC